CCUACGGGAGGCAGCAGUGGGGAAUAUUGGGCAAUGGGCGCAAGCCUGACCCAGCAACGCCGCGUGAAGGAAGACGGCUUUAGGGUUGUAAACUUCUUUUUUCAGGGACGUGGCAAGUGACGGUACCUGACGAAUAAGCCACGGCUAACUACGUGCCCGCAGCCGCGGUAAUACGUAGGUGGCAAGCGUUAUCAGGAUUUGUUGGGUGUAAAGGGCGUGUAGGCGGGAAUGCAAGUCAGAUGUGAAAACUAUGGGCUCAACCCAUAGCCUGCAUUUGAAACUGUAUUUCUUGAGUGCUGGAGAGGCAGUCGGAAUUCCGGGUGUAGCGGUGAAAUGCGUAGAUAUACGGAGGAACACC
rnacentral:rRNA from 1 species